rnacentral:snRNA from 1 species
ACAUUUACCUGGCAGGGGAGAUACCAUGAUCACGAAAGUGGUUUCCCCAGGGCGAGGUCUACCCAUUGCACUCAGAAUGUGCCGACCCGUGAUUUUCCUAAAUGUGGGACACUCGACUGCAUAACUUGUGGUAGUGGGGGACUGUGUUUGCGCUUUCCCCUA